ACCAGGCGCAGUGAUGUGUGCCUGUAGUCCCAGCUACUCAGGAGGCUGAGGCUGGAGGAUCACUUGAGUCCAGGAGUUCUGGGCUGUAGUGUGCUGUGCUGAUCAGGUGUCUGCACUAAGUUUGGCAUCAAUAUGGUGACCUCCCAGGAGUGGGCGACCACCAGGUUGCAUAAGGAGUGGUGAACUGGCCCAGGUCAGAAAUGGAGCAGGUCAAAACUCCCAUGCUGAUCGGUAGUGAAUAGCCACUGCACUCCAGCCUGGGCAACAUAGGGAGACCCAGUCUCU
rnacentral:SRP_RNA from 1 species